GCUGGGCAUGGUGUUAUGUUCCUGUAGUCCAAGCUACUUGGGAGGCUGAGGCAGGAGGAUCACUUAAGCCCAGGAGGUCGAGGCUGCAGUGAGCCAUAAUCAGGCCACUGCACUCCAGCCUGGGCGACAGAGUGAGACCCUGUCUCUA
ensembl:misc_RNA Metazoa_SRP Metazoan signal recognition particle RNA